rnacentral:tRNA from 1 species
GAGGUUUUAGCUUAAUAAAAGCUUAUGACUUGCAUUCAUAGGAUAUAGG